rnacentral:rRNA from 1 species
GAAUAUUGCACAAUGGGGGAAACCCUGAUGCAGCCAUGCCGCGUGUGUGAAGAAGGCCUUCGGGUUGUAAAGCACUUUCAGCGAGGAGGAAAGGAUGCUGGCUAAUAUCCAGCAUCUGUGACGUUACUCGCAGAAGAAGCACCGGCUAACUCCGUGCCAGCAGCCGCGGUAAUACGGAGGGUGCAAGCGUUAAGCGGAAUUACUGGGCGUAAAGCGCACGCAGGCGGUUGGAUAAGUUAGAUGUGAAAGCCCCGGGCUCAACCUGGGAAUUGCAUUUAAAACUGUCCAGCUAGAGUCUUGUAGAGGGGGGUAGAAUUCCAGGUGUAGCGGUGAAAUGCGUAGAGAUCUGGAGGAAUACCGGUGGCGAAGGCGGCCCCCUGGACAAAGACUGACGCUCAGGUGCGAAAGCGUGGGGAGCAAACAGG